GUAACUGCGAGUGAAGAGGGAGGAGCUCAUCAUUGGAAUCUGGCAGUGUUGCACUGUCCGAGUUGUAAGAUGAGGAGUAGUCCAUCUGGACUGCAUGGCGUCCAAGUACAAUAGGCCGUCAGUGGGACAUCAUAGAGGGUGACAAUCCCGUCCUUGACGCCAAUGUGCAAGUCCGCUACGAUGGCUAUCUCGGAGAGUCGAGCAGUUUGGGAUUUGCUGCUUAAACAUGGGAGGUAGAUUCCUUCUAAAGCUAAAUACAGGCGAGAGACCGAUAGAGAACAAGUACCGCAAGGGAAAGAUGAAAUAGAACUCUGUGAAGGGAGUCAAAAGGCGUGAAAUUGUUGCGAGAGAAGCGAUUCAAGUCAGCGUAGCUAGGCCCAUCAAGCCUCUUGCGCUUUGGACUAGCUUUGCCAGCGGUCUUGUCUCUCAGAGAGACUUGACUUUGUAAUGACGUGUCCAGCCUGGUAUGCACAGGUAGCCCCUCC
rnacentral:rRNA from 1 species